GCUGCAUUAUACUAGCAGGAUAGCAGAAGGUGUUUUUGGUAUCAGACAGGCGCAGUGUAAAACUUUGAGUAGGUGCAUUUUCAAAAAUGCAUAAAAUCCAAGACGCUCCAAAGAAGCGCGUGGUAAAUAAUCGUGGUGGUGUUAAUUAGCGCACUUUUUGUGCACGAAGUUUAAGGGUAGCACGUAUCAGUGGCGUAUUUUAAUUUUUUAUCACAAUCUUAAACAUUGAGCGCCAUUUUGUUUUCUGGAAUGAUAAAAUUGCAAGUCAAUGAGGUGGAAUAAAAAUCUCAUGCGCUCGUGGUGUCGCUUGAUUUAAAGAAAGAAGUGGAAUUAGUGCGAUAAAGGGGAUUAAAUGGACGCCAGGAUCAAUGUGAGAUUGCCAACAGCAUCUAAAUCAAAAUGCCAAAGAAGAGAUUUCUCAAAGGGGGCGCUUCUAUCAAGGCGACUCGAGGAUAAGUUAACCAUUACUUUGAUAUUAAUUAAUUACUUCUCCAUCUGUUUCAGGUUGACGAAUUUUCAGAGUAACUGAUUCAGGAAGUUUAUACCCAACCACUAGAAAAUCGUCAAAAUAGAAUUACAAGUUCAAUGUUCGAGUGGGGCGCGUAUUUUGGAGGGUCAUUCUCUUCAGAUGGAAACGAGUACAAAGAAAUUACAACCGUUCUAUUUUAAUAGUUCGAUUAGUCAUGGCUUUGGUUACCCUUUAGACACGAGCCUAAAUGGCACUUUGGCAACGCUACGACUGCAAUAAAUUUACCUCUACGUGGAUCCUUUUGUGACACAGUUAAUUAAGCGCACCCAUGUUUUGUGCCAAUCUUUUGUCCACAAAAUCAAAGUUUUCCUAACUGGAAACCAUUUUAUAUAUAAAUAAUUAAUUUAAGUAAGAAUAUACAUUAACGAAAG